GUGGGGAAUUUUGGACAAUGGGCGCAAGCCUGAUCCAGCAAUGCCGCGUGCAGGAAGAAGGCCUUCGGGUUGUAAACUGCUUUUGUACGGAACGAAACGGUCCGGGUUAAUACCCUGGGCUAAUGACGGUACCGUAAGAAUAAGCACCGGCUAACUACGUGCCAGCAGCCGCGGUAAUACGUAGGGUGCAAGCGUUAAUCGGAAUUACUGGGCGUAAAGCGUGCGCAGGCGGUUUUGUAAGACAGGCGUGAAAUCCCCGGGCUCAACCUGGGAAUUGCGGUUGUGACUGCAAGGCUGGAGUGCGGCAGAGGGGGAUGGAAUUCCGCGUGUAGCAGUGAAAUGCGUAGAUAUGCGGAGGAACACCGAUGGCGAAGGCAAUCCCCUGGGCCUGCACUGACGCUCAUGCACGAAAGCGUGGGGAGCAAACAGGAUUAGAAACCCUGUAGUCC
rnacentral:rRNA from 1 species